UACACUCCUACGGGAGGCAGCAGUGGGGAAUAUUGGACAAUGGGCGCAAGCCUGAUCCAGCCAUGCCGCGUGAGUGAUGAAGGCCCUAGGGUUGUAAAGCUCUUUCACCGGUGAAGAUAAUGACGGUAACCGGAGAAGAAGCCCCGGCUAACUUCGUGCCAGCAGCCGCGGUAAUACGAAGGGGGCUAGCGUUGUUCGGAUUUACUGGGCGUAAAGCGCACGUAGGCGGACUAUUAAGUCAGGGGUGAAAUCCCGGGGCUCAACCCCGGAACUGCCUUUGAUACUGGUAGUCUUGAGUUCGAGAGAGGUGAGUGGAAUUCCGAGUGUAGAGGUGAAAUUCGUAGAUAUUCGGAGGAACACCAGUGGCGAAGGCGGCGCACUGGCUCGAUACUGACGCUGAGGUGCGAAAGCGUGGGGAGCAAACAGGAUUAGAAACCCUGGUAGCCCCAUGAU
rnacentral:rRNA from 1 species